rnacentral:rRNA from 1 species
AAAUUGAAGAGUUUGAUCAUGGCUCAGAUUGAACGCUGGCGGCAGGCCUAACACAUGCAAGUCGAGCGGUAGCACAGAGAGCUUGCUCUCGGGUGACGAGCGGCGGACGGGUGAGUAAUGUCUGGGAAACUGCCUGAUGGAGGGGGAUAACUACUGGAAACGGUAGCUAAUACCGCAUAACGUCGCAAGACCAAAGUGGGGGACCUUCGGGCCUCAUGCCAUCAGAUGUGCCCAGAUGGGAUUAGCUAGUAGGUGGGGUAAUGGCUCACCUAGGCGACGAUCCCUAGCUGGUCUGAGAGGAUGACCAGCCACACUGGAACUGAGACACGGUCCAGACUCCUACGGGAGGCAGCAGUGGGGAAUAUUGCACAAUGGGCGCAAGCCUGAUGCAGCCAUGCCGCGUGUGUGAAGAAGGCCUUCGGGUUGUAAAGCACUUUCAGCGGGGAGGAAGGCGAUAAGGUUAAUAACCUUGUCGAUUGACGUUACCCGCAGAAGAAGCACCGGCUAACUCCGUGCCAGCAGCCGCGGUAAUACGGAGGGUGCAAGCGUUAAUCGGAAUUACUGGGCGUAAAGCGCACGCAGGCGGUCUGUCAAGUCGG